CGGUGAUUAGCGCAGCCCGGUAGCGCAUCUCGUUUGGGACGAGAGGGUCAGAGGUUCG
rnacentral:tRNA from 1 species